AGCAGCCGCGGUAAUUCCAGCUCCAAUAGCGUAUAUUAAAGUUGUUGCAGUUAAAAAGCUCGUAGUUGAAUUUCGGGAUCGAUACGUCGGUCGUGCCUUCGGUACGUACUGUCGUCAUCGGUUUCUCCCUUCUGACGAACCAUGAUGUCAUUAAUUUGGUGUUAUGGGAAAUCAGGACUGUUACUUUGAAAAAAUUAGAGUGUUUAAAGCAGGCAUUAGCUUGAAUACAUUAGCAUGGAAUAAUGAAAUAGGACGUUCGAACCUAUUUUGUUGGUUUUUAGGAUCAACGUAAUGAUUAAUAGGGAUAGUUGGGGGCAUUAGUAUUCAAUUGUCAGAGGUGAAAUUCUUGGAUUUAUUGAAGACUAACUACUGCGAAAGCAUUUGCCAAGGAUGUUUUAC
rnacentral:rRNA from 1 species